GAUGAACGCUGGUGGCGUGCCUAAUACAUGCAAGUCGAGCGAACAGACGAGGAGCUUGCUCCUCUGACGUUAGCGGCGGACGGGUGAGUAACACGUGGAUAACCUACCUAUAAGACUGGGAUAACUUCGGGAAACCGGAGCUAAUACCGGAUAAUAUAUUGAACCGCAUGGUUCAAUAGUGAAAGACGGUUUUGCUGUCACUUAUAGAUGGAUCCGCGCCGCAUUAGCUAGUUGGUAAGGUAACGGCUUACCAAGGCAACGAUGCGUAGCCGACCUGAGAGGGUGAUCGGCCACACUGGAACUGAGACACGGUCCAGACUCCUACGGGAGGCAGCAGUAGGGAAUCUUCCGCAAUGGGCGAAAGCCUGACGGAGCAACGCCGCGUGCGUGAUGAAGGUCUUCGGAUCGUAAAACUCUGUUAUUAGGGAAGAACAAAUGUGUAAGUAACUAUGCACGUCUUGACGGUACCUAAUCAGAAAGCCACGGCUAACUACGUG
rnacentral:rRNA from 1 species